GGGAGCAAGUUUUCCUUCCCCAUUUGCGCUACGGAUGAAGUGCUUGUCAAGCAUGAGCUGCCAAACACCUUUUCUUCUUGUAAUUUGCUUUGAAAAUAGCCUGCCUAAGCUUCUUGGUGGUGUCAUUGAACUCCAUAUCUGGCUUUUUCUCUAGAAGUCUUUGAUGCUCCUCCAGCAUCACUAUCUCAUGAGUCAACCCCAUCU
rnacentral:misc_RNA from 1 species